rnacentral:misc_RNA from 1 species
GAAAUGCGAUAAGUAAUGUGAAUUGCAGAAUUCCGUGAAUCAUCGAAUCUUUGAACGCACAUUGCGCCCUCUGGUAUUCCGGGGGGCAUGCCUGUCCGAGCGUCAUUGCGAACCCUCAAGCCCGGCUUGCGUGAUGGGCGCCGUCCCCCUGCGGACGGGCCCCAAAGGCAGCGGCGGCGUCGCGGUUAUCCGAUCGGCCAGAGCGUAUGGGGACUCUCCGUCACACGCUCGCGGCGCGGACCGACGCCCGCCUAUUCUUGAUGACAAUCAUCUCUCAAGUUUGACCUCGGAUCAGGUAGGGAUACCCGCUGAACUUAA